AGUAAGUGUUUGGGGUUUUUAAAAACAAGUUGAGCUUCAAGGAAAAAAAAAUGCUUUGGUGUUACUGUGUAUUUAACGUGAUUUUUCUUCUGUUGUGUUUAAGUACACCUUGAUUACUUUAGCACUUUUUGCAAAUAUGACUAGGCUUUUACUGUAGGUUUUAUGACAAUGUAAUAUUUGUUUCCUCCUUUGUCAGACAGUGCUUCCAAGUGCAGACCAUCAAAAUACAGUAGUAAACCAGUUUGGACCCUCUGCUUUCUGUCCUGAUAUCAUAAAUAUACCAAGCUCCUCAAAUACACUUCUGCUAUCACCUUACUCUGGUUUCACUUUAGCACAUGUCUUAGACUAUACAGGUGCCAGGAGAGAUCUGAUCAGACCCUUGGUUACUGCUGUGAUCUCUUCUUACGAAGUCAUGCUGGUCUCCACGGAAAAUGAAAAUCCAGCAACUGCAAAUAGUUCAGGAGAACAGAAACAGAGCAGAAAUACUUAUGGAAUGCACAGUUCCUAAAGUUGAGAGAAGAAACAUCAAAUGAGAACUACAAGCCACAUGGAGAACUGAAACAGAUAAAAGGACUACUUUAACAGCAUUUUAAAGCAGCUCCACUGGCACUCUCAUCAAGCCAAAAUACAACUGCUCUGCACAACUGGGACAAAAUGGUAACAGAAAGCAUAUAAACACACUGAAUAGAGACCAGAAGUUCCAGACUGAUCCUUUGCAUCUACACCACAGUAUAGUGUUUCACUGCGGUACAGCGCUACAACAAACACGAAGCCAAACAGUAUUACAGUGUUUUUGAGAAAUAAAAAUUAAUUGGAUAACCUUAUAUCUGUAUCUAAUUGGGAUGACUGUAUGGGAAAGCUAAGUCAAAUCCUGAAAGAAGGUCAGCAGCUAGUCAAGUUUUCACUCCUUCCCAUCUUCUCAGUUAAACUUUGCCUUCUCAGCCACAACAAAGAAGUGGUAAUUUCCUCCAAAGAGACGAUUCUGCUGUAUGACUCAAGAUCCUCUGCAUCUACUUCUGCUUCUAGAAAUGUCAUUCAUGGCUCUGUAUCGAGCCUUCUUGAAUGAAAGGAAGGAAGAAGGAAAAGAAGAUAUUUUGUGGUUUUGUAUAAUGCCACAUCAAAAUAUUUUCAUUGUGAAAUGUACCAGUCUUCACACAGCACUCUUGUCUUGUGGUUGGGUUUUUUUCUGAGUUUCAUGUGUUGCACCGAUGGUAUCUAAGCAGACAAUAAUGCAACAGUCAUCUGCCAUAUAAGGAGAAUCAAAUUGUACUCAGUAUUAUUUUAAAAAUAACAAUGCAAUUUCAUCUUAUUACAUGAAGCAUCAUACAAUAAGAGACAGAAAAAUGUAGCCUAAUUAAAACCAGUCUUGCAAAAUCAUGCCAUUGCCAGCACAGAAAAAUCCACUUAAUCUUCAGUCACGUGAAUGUUUUUGUUUUACUGCUUUCAGCCAUAAACAGAAGCAUUUCAAACAGGAUGGAGAAACAUGUAUUGGUGGUGAGAAGACUUCUUAUGUUUUACCCAAAUAAAGCCAAGAUCGAAUGAAAGAGUUGGGGUUUUUUUGUCUUUACAAAAAAAAAAAAAAAAAAAAAAAAAGGACAGUAAGAACAGUCUGAUGUUUCUGUUCUGAAGAACCUUCGUAACAGCCAUUUUUAGAUACUCCUCCUGACUCGCUGGCAAUGGCUCCCUUCGUGAGCUGCUACAACUUCUGUGCACGCAGUGCUACAACUAUACGCAGACCGGGGAAUUAAAUACGCUGGGGGGAAAGGAAGGAGACAGACCAGUUCCAAGUAAUAAUACCAGAUAAAGACAACAAGAGCUUGUUACUCAAUCUGUCAUGCCUGAGCGGGAAUCCCAGAAGCGCACAGAAAGAUUUGUGGGCUUCAGUCAGUCCUAGCAACUUUCUCUUUCCAUGGAGUCCAGGCAGGAGUGUCUCUGGUUCGUCACAGCCUGUGCCAGGAGCAACAAGGGGAGGAGAGGCUCCCAGCUAAACUGUGCCCAGGAGGAACAGCGCAGCUCCCUUCUUCUAAGAUGCAGCCAGCAAUGAAGCAGCAGCUCCUACAGCAUCUGCAUCCCUCUCAAGGCAGAACUUCUGGACUUCAUCUCUCAGGGGGGACUAUUAGCAAUCAGUCCUCCUCCACUCCAGACAAUGCUGUAAUCUAAGGGUCUAUUUUGGAGACUCAAGAUCCUUCCACUCUCUCAGCUGGAAGCUCUUCCUUCCCCAAUCCGCUGAGAACAGCCUGCCUGGGUACCUCUCCUAGCAGCAGGCAGCACCUUUCCUCUCUCUAUAAGCAAGGGAAGGACACAGUUACGUUUUCACACAGAGAAUUUCUGAGAACACUGCAUUAACAUUCAGAAUUCUUACUUUAAUAAUUCAUGACUAACCAAACACUUUGGUAACAUCCUAUUCUGCACACUAGCUGCAGUCUUCUUUGUUUCUUAUUCACCACUAACUGUUUCUCAGGGCUCUCUUCAGGUUCUUUUAGCAACAGCUGAAACCCUUGCAGAAACAUGUCAAACCAAGACUGCCACCUGGCAGUGGCUUUUGCCUCGCUCUUUUGAAAUGGAGGGUACCUGCAAGAACAAAUAAGGUAGCACUACUGUUUAACCAGGCUGAACUAAUUCUGCUCCCCAGAACAGCCAGCAAUUUGGCUUAGAUUACAAUUUUACCACCUCUUACAUUCAAUUUUUGCAGCCAUAAGAAAAUAUUGCUUAAAAGGGGAUUUUAAUAAAAACAGAAAAUAGACUUUUACCUCUCAUAAAUUUGGGAAUCUAGUAUUUUGUACUGUUGCAUAGAACAAGAAUCUGCAAACAACUACAUUAAGAAGAUGCAGAGGAAUGAUCAGACUCUUCCAAGUACAACUUUGGUAUCAGUGUGUGAUGUGAUAGGGGAUUCUGUAGUAUUUUUUCCCAUAGCUGUUUUGCAGCUUUGGAAGCACUGCCCUAUUAUCAGUGCUAAUAUGCGCUGCUAUGAAAAGGUUUCGUGCUCUUACAGGAGUCUUGCUCUUUAAGUGAAGCAUUACUCAACUCUUCUGUUUUAGUUUCUUGAUUAUAGGCAAGAAUAUUUGUACGGAUCAAAAAAAGCUUCCUGGGCAGAGUAAUUUUUUACUUUCUAUCAUUUGCAGUAGUAUGUACUAAGCUCUUAAGUCAAGGUGUUUCUGAUGUUUAAGUACACUGCCUUUAGGCAUGGAGGAAGACUGGGAUGAUGCAACAGAUACUGUUCAUCAUUUCCCGAAGUGGUUUGAAUUCUUUUAAUAAGUUUUUUGCGCACACACGAAAAGCUUUUUGGACACACUAUAGUUGUCUUUUAAUAGAGAUGAUGGAGCCACUCUUCUCAGAAGUACAAGAUGAAAAGACUAGAGGCAACAGUCACAAGUUGCAACAAGGAAUAUUCCAAUUGUGAAAAAUGUAUUAAUUAUACUCAAUGAGCAUUAUUAAGUACUGGAGCAGGGCCCAAGAGGCUGUGGGAUCUCCAUUCUUGGAUAUCUUCAUAACUUGACUGGAACAAGGUCCAGAGCAUCUUGAGCUAGCUCCCUGCUUGGAGCAGGGGUCUGGACUACAGACCUCCAGAGGCCCCUUCCAGCUCUGCUCUCUUGUCAAUCUGUAGCUACUUCAGGAGCUCCCUGUACUGAUCUCCAGCAAAGCUCUGACAAAGGAGAACACAAAAUCUGACCUUGCUCAUCACAGGUGACAGUAAAAACAGAUUUUGGAGUUAUAGUCUUCAGUUGAAAGCCUCAGCAUUUAAUACCACUUUACAAAGUAAGUCAUAAGGCAGAAAUGUACAGGUACAGCCGAGUUAGAAGCGCAGACUGCCACUGAAUCCAGAAAGAGUAGGUUAUGAGAAUCCUGCUGAACACAUCCAGAUUUGCUCUGGUAAUAAGGUUUCCCACAAAUGCUGUUAAGUUGCAGGAUAGUUACACAAAACACAUUGAAAACAGAAGGAAAGUUAUAUUAACAACAAAGGUUUUUUCAAUUAGUGCAGAAGAACUCUUUCUCAGUAAUACUCCAAUGCUACCUUACUUUGCCCAGGGAUGAUAAAUGCAGCAGUCAUGCCUAUCUUUAAACUUUUCAGUAAUGCAGACUAUUGGAAGCAGUUUUGUUAUGAGAGCCUGAUGUGCUUUACAAGAGGUGGCUAAGACGGGCCUCUGCUAUAAUCUAGACAUGCAAAGGCAAGUAUAUUUUUACAAGUUAAAACAGUACGACAAUCACAGAACUGCACAGCAAAAAACGUAUCCAGUGCAGGGUUCCCAGAAUCUCUGUAUUGUAGUAAGCAAACACAUUACAAAACUGUAUUGCCUCCCAAUGUCAAAUUCCGCACACACAUCCCCCCAUCCCCACACAAAAAGAAAAAAAAAAGCCUCAGUUUAUCUUUAAGAUAAAGUUUAUCUUUAAUGUCCAACAGUACAAACAUGCCUAUUUGAUUUUUUUCUGUUUAGUACACCGAGCAAGCAAAAAGGAAAACUUUGUCUUUGACAGGUCUUAGCAGAAGGGUUAUCACUCUUUCCAGUCCAGAUCUCAUUCCCGCAACCCGUGCUUCCAUUUCUUUCCAUGCAGUUAAACGCUGCUGCCAGGCUAUUUUUCAUGUUUGUGCAUACUUGACUUUUGCAACCAGAGAAACGAUGUACAUAGUACAGCAUGUUUACCCUGUGCUUAUUUGCAUUGAGAAGGCUAAAGUUUAUCCUACAACAUUGUCUGCUGCCCUCACUUCCUAAAAUCAAGUCAGUUUUUUCUAUCAUCUUCAUCUGAGUACCUGUACAAAGAAAAUCUCAACACAGAAAAUUCUGGUUUAUACUCCUAGAAACAUGGCCAAAACACUGCAGAACAGCUCCUGCUCUGUACAGACCAAGGCUGGAGAUGUGCAGGCUGCUCAACACCCACACUCAGUGUCCUGUAAAGACACACCCAAAGGAAGGGGUAGAGGAUCUUGCUAAACAAGUUACCAUACCUGCAGCUUUCUGCACCAAGAUUUUUUCAUUGCGACUAGAACAGCAGGUCUUUGGGCCAUCAACAAGCACUCGAUUCAGCUGGACUUUCUUGAAGUCACUGGUGUAAAACCGAAUCAAAGCAAGCCUUCUUAAUUAUCAAUUCUUCUGCCCUUUGGUGCUAUAAUUAAGUCAGUGUAUGUAAAAUUAGAAGAGAAAGCUUGUAUACUGGUGGCAUGAGAAGUCUGUCAUCUUGUGAUGCAUCAUCUGAUGUUUGGAUUUACAUGAUAAUAACUUCAUUUUGCUCAGUGUUCUUGUGUCACAUCCCGUGGUGUCUCAUGACAGAGAACUCAGCAGUUGGCUCAUGUUUUGCCUGUACCAUUGUCUCUAACUUGCAUAAAAUCCCCUGGUUUAUAAGAACCUGAGUGAUACUGUUCACUUUUUUUUUCCCCCUUUUUUUUUUUUGUUUUUUAACCUCCUCUGUUUCUCUUGUGUGAUUCUCAGAACUGGAACCAAAAGUGAAUUAAGUUCAGACAGCAGAGUUUCUCCCAAACUAGCA